GCAGGAGAAGGUGGGACUGCAGCCAGAGAGGGACCCUUAAACCAGAAGGAUGUGAGUGAUGUGAAACUGGUGGAUAAGCAGGAAAACAUGACUUAGAGAUGCUUUGUGAACAUCAGUUUUUUGAAGUCAAUCAUAAAGUGCUUCAAGUGGUUUCUUUAAGGAUACACAAACACAGAGGAAACCCACAGUCGAGUGAAUUUCACAAUAGGUACUGAAACAUGGAGAGGACACAUGGAGGUGCCACACAGUUAAGCUAAAAAAGGUGUUGUUCAACACAUCUCAGAAUAACUUUCUUAAUCCCC